rnacentral:rRNA from 1 species
AACGCGAAGAACCUUACCUACCCUUGACAUGUACAGAACGCCGAAGAGAUUUGGUGGUGCUCGCAAGAGAACUGUAACACAGGUGCUGCAUGGCUGUCGUCAGCUCGUGUCGUGAGAUGUUGGGUUAAGUCCCGCAACGAGCGCAACCCUUGUCAUUAGUUGCUACGAAAGGGCACUCUAAUGAGACUGCCGGUGACAAACCGGAGGAAGGUGGGGAUGACGUCAAGUCCUCAUGGCCCUUAUGGGUAGGGCUUCACACGUCAUACAAUGGUACAUACAGAGGGCCGCCAACCCGCGAGGGGGAGCUAAUCCCAGAAAGUGUAUCGUAGUCCGGAUUGUAGUCUGCAACUCGACUACAUGAAGUUGGAAUCGCUAGUAAUCGCGGAUCAGCAUGUCGCGGUGAAUACGUUCCCGGGUCUUGUACACACGC